UUAAAACAGAGCCAUCAAAAAUGAGACUUGCACUCUGGAGAAUCUUGCUGCCAUCCUUGACAAUCACAACUGCAGGGGCUUGACCAACUGGUUUUUGGAGGAUGGCAUCAGCCUGAUCUGCUGGUUCCUCCGUCUCAUCAUUUCGAGGAUUUUCUUCUCCUUCAGUCCUGCGGCACAAGAAUCCAGUUAAUAAGGGCGCAGCUUUGGGGCAUCAGAAGGAACCAGCUGUUCCAGUACGGCUCUGUUUUGCUCUCUCCGCUGCAGCACACGCUCCAAGUAUUCCCCUUCACCAUCACUUUCAUCGUCACUUUGAGCAACACGACUCUUCUUUUUCCUAAAAGUAUAUUUAAAAUGAAUACUCAGAUUUGUUUCUUUUUUAUUAUGUUAAUAUUGUAGUCUGAAACAAUA